GUCUAUGGCCACACCACGCUGAAUGUGCCCAAUCCUGUUUGAUUGAGGAAGCUAAGCAGGGUCGGGCCUGGUUGGUACUUGGAUGGGAGACAUACAUGUCCCACGGCAUCGUUAGAGU
rnacentral:rRNA from 1 species